GUUUAUCAAAAACAUGUCUUUUUGAAUUUAAUUUAAAGUCUAACCUGCCCACUGAAAUUUUAAAUGGCCGCAGUAUUUUAACUGUGCAAAGGUAGCAUAAUCAUUAGUCUUUUAAUUGAAGGCUGGAAUGAAUGGUUGAAUGAGAUAUUAACUGUUUCAUAUAAAUUUAAAAUAAAAUUUUAUUUUUUAGUUAAAAAGCUAAAAUUUUAUUAAAAGACGAGAAGACCCUAUAAAUCUUUAUAUUUGAAUUUAUAAUUUUUAUAUAGAUAAUUUAAAUUUUUAUAUAAUUAAAUAUUUUAUUGGGGUGAUAUUAAAAUUUAAAUAACUUUUAAUUUUAAAUUAACAAAAAUUAUUGAAAUAUUGAUCCAUUAAUUAUGAUUAAAAAAUUAAGUUACUUUAGGGAUAACAGCGUUAUUUUUUUAGAGAGUUCAUAUUAAUAAAAAAGUUUGCGACCUCGAUGUUGGAUUAAGAUAAAAUUUAGGUGAANAAG
rnacentral:rRNA from 1 species